rnacentral:rRNA from 1 species
UGGGGAAUCUUAGACAAUGGGCGCAAGCCUGAUCUAGCCAUGCCGCGUGAGCGAUGAAGGCCUUAGGGUUGUAAAGCUCUUUCAGUGGGGAAGAUAAUGACUGUACCCACAGAAGAGGCCCCGGCUAACUCCGUGCCAGCAGCCGCGGUAAUACGGAGGGGGCUAGCGUUGGUCGGAAUUACUGGGCGUAAAGCGCACGUAGGCGGACCAGAAAGUAGGGGGUGAAAUCCUGGGGCUCAACCGCGGAACUGCCUUCUAAGCUCCUGGUCUUGAGUUCGAGAGAGGUGAGUGGAAUUCCGAGUGUAGAGGUGAAAUUCGUAGAUAUUCGGAGGAACACCAGUGGCGAAGGCGGCUCACUGGCUCGAUACUGACGCUGAGGUGCGAAAGCGUGGGGAGCAAACA